UCCUCCGCUCUUGCCUCCACCGGGGACGGGAUGGGUCCUGCGCGCAGUCGCUGGGGCGAGGUGGCCUCCAACUGAGGCUGCUCCUCGCGACCUCCUCCAAACCGACGGUAAGGCAUCUCUCCCUCUCCCUCCAUCCCUCCCUCUCUCCCUCUCUGAUUUCCCAAAUCGAUUCAAGUCCCCGUCUAGGGUUUGGGCCAUGGAAGCUGCUGCCUGGCUAUGGGAGACGCUGCAGCGGCAGGAGGCAUUCCCAAGCACUACCACGCGCGUGCUGCCGGGGAAAGGGCCCUCCACGCUCAAGGUGACUUUCCUAUGAUUGUUGCUGUGGUACUGAUGCUUGUAUUUUUGUGUUUGAUGAAAUGCCAGCUCAAGAAUAAACUUGUUGCACCUUCUUUAAAUAUGUAUUGCUGAUUGCCUUGGUAGAUGCUAAAGCUAUUUGAGAUAAAACUGCCGAGGGGGCAGUGCAUCUUUUUGAGCUUAUAGAGAUUGGGCAAUAUGUGUGAUAGUUUCAUCAUUUUGAUAGAUGGGAAACCUCUUUUAGGUACAAUACAUCUGUUAUCUUCUAACAUUGGCCUUGUUGGGAUACCCCAAACAACAGUAAGAAUAUUAUGACGAAUGAAGAUAACGGUAGUUCAAACAAACGUUACAGUGGCUGUCCUAUCAAUGAUUCAUGUGUUCUUAGGGGGGACGGUUCGCCUCCCUUUAUAGAGUCAUAAAGUUACAUUUCCGCAUCCCCGUUAUACCCAUACUCAACCACUACAUCCUAAGAAUAUUUCGUACAAGACAGUAACUUGGUUCUCAUCCAAGACGUCGCUGUCACGAUAAAAUUACAUAUCCAACCUCAUACUAGACUCCUAUUACAGAGCCGUCCUGCUAUAAAGCGGUUCCGGGGCCACCUUGACUGUCUUCUUCUUCAUUUGUAAGCUUCGUUGAGACCGAGCAGCCUUCAGUAGACUUCCCACCUUCUUUGGUCGAAGCUAGUUGACUUCGACUUCGGGUCAUGGAGUCUUCAUGAAGCCGAAACGCUGGGAGCUCCAUGGGGGGUUUAACUUCGUGAGUCCUUUCCUGCAAAACAACAAAGUCGACACCUUCUUGAUAGCUAACUUCGGUCAUUUGUUAACUUCGUAAGGAGGGGGAAAGUGAUGAGGUUAGAAUCGGUCCAGAGGAAAAGGUCCCCGCUAGCGCCGUUCAGGGUGUGUUGUGGGGCGGUCCCCAACAGUAGCCCCUUCGUGGGCGUGGUCCGAGGCGCCGUCGACUGAUCCCGCGAAAAGUCCAAAAACGCCCCCAAAACGUCACCCUGAAGGGCGGCGUGGGCUGAGGCAUUUUACCGUUAUGUGAGGGUAUCAAGGACAUUUUCUAUGUGGCAGUUCAUGUUUCGAGGCGGUUUUUACCGUGCCUAUAUAAGGUUUGCCGGGGGGCGGGCCAUUUUUUACGCUGUCGUUUUCGAGCUGCGCUUUUCGCCACUUUUGCCUUCGUUGCGUGUCUUCGUUUUGUUUUGUUGGCUCCGUUUUCUUGGUGGGGUGUUGACUUCAUUUUCGCGGCAGUUAGCAUCAGGCAGAGCUGUAGGCAAUGUCUUCGGAGGAGUUGGCUCUUCAGGUUGCCCCUGGUGGUGGAGGUAGCCUUGCCUCGCAGUUAGUGUCUGCGAGCAGUGGUGAGUCUAAGGGGAAAAGGUCAAAGAAACGGAUCUAUACGAAGGAUGGACUGGUUUCGGCAGAAGAGGGAUCUUCGGGGAGUAGUUCGCCAGAUUGGUCCUCUGACGGUGGUGAAGGCGAAGGUGGACAGGGGCAAACCUCGAAAGGUACAGGGGGAACCGAGGUUCAUGCCGUAUCCUCGACGAGGAAGAGGUUGGGGAGGAGGAUGCCGAGGUUGAAGUGAGGCCCGAGGCAUCCGUCGGGGGGAAGGUUCCGUGCGUCCCUACUCUUUAUUUUGGACGCUCCCAGGUGACCUCGCAAGACAUUACAUUUUUUGAGGAGAGCCACUUUUUCCCUAAGGGGAUGGGCAGAGCCCCCGGGAGCGAGGCAGUUCCGACGCCUGAGGUCGGCGAGGCGAUUGUCUUUAGGGAUCUGUUUACUACGGGACUUCAUUUUCCAUGCGAUAGGUAGCUUCCGGUUAUAUUGGAUCGCUACCGUUUUAGGCUGCAUUAGUUGACCCCCAAUGCCAUUGUGAACUUGUUUAAGUUCUAUUGGGUGCAGCGCACGUUUGGUGGAAGUGUUAAUUGGAGGGGUUCGCGAGGUUACAUGAGCUUCACAUUCAGAAGAAAAGAACUUAUUCUGAUGAGGGGGUUUGCGAAAAUCAUUUUGGAUGUUGCACCUUCGUGCCUCGUUGGAAGAAUGAUAAGAGGAAUCUACCGAGGGUAGAGCUUACCUUCACGCAGAGGAACAAGUGGGACGAUGCGUGGCUGACGCAUUGGUUUUAUGUAAAGAUUGAAAUGGCCGGUCUUGGCACUGGCUUUCCAUUCUAUGCACAGUUUGGGCCGAUGGACGUGCUGACAACCCCUUCGUUCAUCCAGACAGCCCUUGUGACGAAGUGCGAAGCUGCCUAUAGGGUUGCUGGGCCCUUGAUAUCUGGGCGUGAUCUUGUGGAGGAGUACGUCGCUGCCCGAGUGUGGCCUUUGUCUGCUGAUUUUGCUAAACCCCUUGAGCUCGUUGAGAAGAAAGUAUCUUGGAGUGAGAAGACUGUGCCGUUCCCUUGUUUUGAGCUUAACAAGGAUGAAGUUGGCGACUUGGACUUCUACAUACAGUCAGUGGAAGAUAUGGCUUAUGAGAUUUUGGGUCCGGUGACCCCGCCCGAAAGGCGCUCUUUCAAGGCUGUUAUGAGACAUGGGUGGCGUGUCAACCGGGUUUUUGAUUUGCUUGACAUCGCAGUGCCACCUUGUCCCGAGGUUAUGGGCAAGAGGUGCCGUCGAGGUGUCGUUGCUGAGCAGAGGAAGAAGGUGAAAUUCGAUUCUGCUCGCACGACAAAACCUGCUGUUGAGUCAUAGGCAGCCGCCAAGGCGAAGCAAAAAACCCUUAGCUUGGAGGCGCAGAAGCGGAAAGAUACUAUUGUUGGAGCUUCGUCUGUUGACUUGAGUAGGUCGUCGUAUGUUGUGCCUGUUUCUGUGCGUCCUCCUAUGGAUGCGCCUUCGUCCGCGGGCCCUACCAUUCGGACUAAAAAGGGGGGUAACAAACCUCGCUUUGCACGUGUUAUUGUGCCGGGUGCUAAGGUCGAAGUGCCUUCUGGGACCAGCAACAAGGUUGCACCUUCUUCCUCAGGCGCAAGGGCUCUGGGCGUGCAGUCUAUUUUGGCUGCAAACGAGAAACGUGAGGAGAGGGUAGCUGUUGAGAAGGCGAAGCUUGUGGACGCAUUUUCAUCUGAUCCUAAAGGUGCUAGUGUCGAGGCUGUUAGAUCCGGUAAGCAUGUAGAGGUGAUUUUGCCGAAGCUUCGGUUUUUUGAUUGCGGGCGGGCUUCAGCGUCAUUUUUGAAGGAUUUGGAGGCUACUAUGGGGGAGGUUGGUGAGGUUAGCUGUGAGGAUCAUGUAAGGUUGAAAGUUAAAUGUUAUGAUGUAGGUGAGAGAUUGCCGGCUGGUCUGCAAGGUCUUAAUGAAGGCCUGGGCUUGAGUGGGCGCACGGAGGUUCUAGCAACGUGCGCCGAAGGUAGGGGUCUAUAAUCCACAUAACCUAAUUUUGGACUGGGGGAAGGGUCGUGAGGAUUUCGAGCGCUGUGCAGAUACCGGAGGUUCAAGGAGGAUGGAGAGAACAAGUGCGACGGCUUCGGGUAAAGAGAUUGUUCCGGUCGCCGUCGAGGCGCGGGGGUACGAAGGUAAUGGCUUCUUGUGAGUGAUCAUUGUUUGUGGACUUCAUUGCUAUUGUGGUGUACUUAUAAUUGUAUGCUUGACCCACAGAUUUUCAGCAACCUGUAAGGUCGAUGAGCUCGGAGGAACUUUUGAGCUUGGAGGCUAACCUCGUAAAGAAG
rnacentral:lncRNA from 1 species